AGUUUAUGAGCUUGUAAUUAAGCAUAUAUUUUGAAAAUAUAAGAAAGGAAUUUUUCCUAUAAACUU
rnacentral:tRNA from 1 species